ACACAGUGUAGCUACUCUGCAGUGUUACGCUGCAGAUGCAAAUGCGGUAGUCAUCCGCGGAUUCCAUGCGCACAGAGCCGCCGCGCACAGUGUACGUUAAUCGUCGCUCUGUUAGGUAUGCGGCGUAGAGCGCGGCACGCACUGGAACGCGGCCUGUCAGCUCACAGAUUGCGCUGAGCUUUAUAAAGCCACGGCCACACGACAACAGCCCGGCUGUUACACAGAAACCUCUCUGCAGCGUUGCCAAGGCAACGGCUACCGAAAGCCAUGACAACCAGGGUACUCUCAUCCUCUAUCAGUCUUCUUUUCUUUGUCUGAACUCCUGUUUUCGCGCACACCUUUACAUCCGGCGCGUUUCCUCGAGUAAUUUCGCUCUUUAACUCCCAUCUCCUCUCUACACGCGCAUCUUCACCUCCCCUUCUUCCAUCUUUUUUUACGUCCCCUCCCUCCGUGAGCGCGCGCGCUCGCUCGCUCGCGCUCUCUACAUCUUCCGCCGCUUCGGUCCGUUCCCUCUUUCUUUUCUCCCCCUCUUCGCCACCUCUCGUCUCUGCACUCACCCUCCCCUGCCCAAUCCCUUUCAGCUGCUCGCAUCCUCUCCUCCAUCUCUCCGUUUCGUCUUUUUUGUACCUCCCCUCAUCGAUACGAACGCGUCCCUCUCCUCGUUUGCCAAAUCCUGAAAGCAGACCUCUCUUAUUCUCUCUCUCUCUCCGUCCCUCCCCCUUCCUCUUUACGUUUCCCCCUCCCUCCAUACCAUAUUUUCCUCAAUGCUUAAGUCAGUCAAAAGAGACACACUGAAGAAAAGAGGGGCGAACGGCGGGCGCUGAGAGAGAGAAAGAGAGAAGGAGAGAAGCUGGAGGGAGAGAGGGGAGAGGGGGGAACGGGGGUUUGGAUACAUCUCCACCUGUCUUCUCUCUGCCAUGGACUGCCUCUGCAUAGUGACCACAAAGAAAUAUCGGUAUCAGGAUGAAGAGACUCCGCCCCUGGAGCACAGCCCCGCCCACCUGGCUCACAGCAAGAGCGCUGAGAUGCUUCACAUGAGUGAUAAGAACCUGGCUGCCAUGGACACCCUGCACAGUUACGGCCCACACACACACAUCUCACCAAUAAAGCCAGUGUUGCUGUCCUCUGGUCAAACCCCUCUGUACACCUCUGCGGUCUCCACACUGGGGAACUCUCCUCCAGUGGUGGUAAAUACUGACACACUGGACGGCUCACCGUAUGUCAAUGGAGCAGAAGGAGAGAUUGAAUAUGAAGAGAUUACGCUGGAAAGGGGAAACUCUGGGCUAGGCUUCAGUAUUGCCGGAGGGACUGAUAAUCCUCAUGUCGGAGACGACCCCAGCAUCUUCAUCACUAAGAUCAUUCCUGGAGGAGCCGCCGCACAAGACGGGAGACUCAGAGUAAACGACAGCAUUCUCUUCGUGAAUGACGUCGAUGUUCGGGAGGUGACACACAGUCAGGCGGUGGAGGCGCUCAAGGAGGCGGGUGCUAUCGUCAGACUCUAUGUAUUACGCAGGAAACCCGUUGCUGAGAAAGUCACCGAAAUCAAGCUCAUCAAAGGGCCAAAAGGGCUAGGCUUCAGUAUAGCGGGUGGUGUGGGGAACCAGCACAUCCCUGGAGACAACAGCAUUUAUGUCACAAAGAUCAUCGAGGGAGGAGCGGCUCAUAAGGACGGGCGACUACAGAUCGGUGAUAAGAUACUGGCGGUGAAUAAUGUGUGUUUGGAGGACGUGAUGCAUGAGGACGCGGUGGGCACGCUGAAGAACACAGCAGAGGUGGUCUACCUCAGAGUGGCCAAGCCAACCAACCUGUACCUUACCAGCACCUACAACCCACCAGACCUCACGAGCACGUACUCUCCGCAUAUGGACACGGACCUCGGACAUCCGAACUUCCUGGCCUCGGAUUACCCACAAGCCCUCACUCCCACCUCACCAAGCCGCUUUUCUCCAGUGCUGCAUGGCUUGAUGGGAGAGGAUGACUUACCCAGGGACCCGAGGCGUGUUGUGAUCCACAGAGGAUCGACGGGUUUGGGCUUUAAUAUAGUUGGAGGGGAGGAUGGCGAGGGAAUAUUCAUCUCUUUCAUCCUGGCAGGAGGCCCUGCGGACCUGAGCGGAGAACUGCGCAAAGGAGAUCAGAUCUUGAGCGUGAGAACAUUUGUGUUUGUUUGUGCAGAGUACAGUCGAUUUGAAGCUAAAAUUCAUGAUCUCCGAGAGCAGCUGAUGAACAGCAGUAUGGGCUCUGGAACAACUACAUUACGAAGUAACACUAAACGAGGAUUUUAUAUCAGGGCUCUGUUUGACUAUGAUAAGACGGCAGACUGUGGUUUCCUGAGUCAGGCCGUGGGCUUUAGGUUUGGAGAUGUGCUGCAUGUUUUGGACUGUGGAGAUGAGGAGUGGUGGCAGGCCUGCAGAGUCAGCCCACAGGGGGACGAGGAGGAGGUCGGCUUCAUCCCCAGCAAGAGGAGGUGUGUGUGUGUGUGUGAAACUCAGUGUUCCUUCUGCUGUUGUUCUGUUAGAAAUCUUGUGUCAUUGAUUCAGAUGAAUCUCUCUUCCAGGGUUGAGAGAAAAGAGUGGACGCGGUUGAAGUCCAAAGAAAGGGUAAGAAAGGCCGUAGCAAAUAAUGUAUCUCUCUCGUGUGUCGCACCCUGUUUAGUGCACUACGCGAGGCCCAUCAUUAUUCUGGGCCCGGUGAAGGACAGAGUGAAUGAUGACCUGCUGUCUGAGUUCCCAGACAAGUUUGGCUCUUGUGUCCCUCAUACGACACGACCCAAGCGGGAGUAUGAGGUGGAUGGGCGGGACUAUCAUUUUGUGUCGUCACGGGAACAGAUGGAGAAAGACAUCCAGAACCAUCGUUUCAUCGAGGCGGGCCAGUACAACAGCCACCUGUACGGAACCAGCGUUCAGAGCGUCCGAGAGGUGGCCGAACAGGGAAAGCAUUGUAUUCUGGAUGUGUCCGCAAAUGCAGUUCGUAGGCUACAAGCUGCACAGCUUCACCCGAUUGCCAUCUUCGUGCGGCCCAAAUCACUGGAGAACGUCCUAGAGAUCAACACACGUCUAACUGAGGAACAAGCCAGGAAAGGUAUGGACCGCGCUAUUAAACUGGAGCAAGAUUUCCUGGAGUGCUUCUCUGCAAUCGUGGAGGGCGACAGCUUCGAGGAGGUUUAUCACAAGGUGAAAACUGUGAUCGAGGAGCAGUCAGGGCCUUAUAUCUGGAUUCCCACCAGGGAGCGUCUGUGA
ensembl:lncRNA